rnacentral:lncRNA from 1 species
UGCUAUUCUUGACUUGCCAUAACAAAAAAUAGAAGGUCCAUAAGAUUUUUUUUUUUCGCAGAAUCAGCGAGAUUGAUGUCGCCGCCACGUCGUCCUUCCUAUGCUGCACGUGAAGGUUCCCUCUCCUAGCAAUUAUCUCCACCGCCGGCCAUCUCCCCAAGCAGCCACGUACCUGAUUGGAUCAAAGGCAUCACGCAGCAGCAGGAGCCGUCGGGGCAGAGGCCGGCCUUGCGCGCGUGAACUGAUGAGAUGACUCACGCAGCAGCCGUCGGGGAGGAGGCCGGCCUUGCGCCGUGAAUUGAUGAGAUGGUUCACGCAACAGCCGUCGAGGAGGAGGCUGGCCCUGCGCGCGUGAACCAGAUGGCUGUGUGCGGAUCCGAUCUUGCGGGAGGAAGACGACGAAGUUUCCUUGGGCGCGCGGGAAGGAGCCGCUACGGCAUGCGAUACUACGAUGCGCGGUCGAUAUGCGCGUGCGGAGGGGAAGAGUGGCAACUUGCUAAAAUUACCAAGUUGAUUUACCAAUCUGUUGGAGACUACAAUUUUUUAUUUUGCCAAAUUUUUAAGAAUAACAAUCUUAUUUGAUAAACUCUUGGAGAUGCUCUCUUCUGGGCUGCUGCUAUAUAUGCUCCAGCUUGGCCCAGCUUUAUACAAGAAGAACUGAGCAAGAGCAGACCCAAUCGGCCCAUCUGAUCUGGCCAGCCCAAGCUCGUUUCGAUCGGCCCGCUGUUCAUGGCCGCCUGGCCGGGCGCGCUGCGCGCGCGACGCCACACUUUGCAGAGUGGAAUUGCAAUCACAGUAGUAAA